UUACGGACAUAUCACUUUGAAACACUGGUUUUCAUACAAUCACCAAUGUUAAACAACAUUGAGCCUGGUCAGUAGUUAGAUAGGUAACCACUUGGGAAUACCACAUGCUGUAUU